AGGUAGUCCUAACUCCUAAGCUUCCUUUGAACAUGGAAACUGAACCAUAAAAAAAGAUCCAAACAGUGAUAAUGGAGAAGUUGGUGCGAUGGCGGGAGAAGGAACCUGCAUAUUCUGUCAGAUCGCUCGUUCUUCCACUUCUACCACUCUCCUCCACUCCGAUGAGAAGGUCGUUGCCUUUCAAGAUAUCAGGCCUUCUGCGUUCAGGCAUUAUCAGGUGAUUCCUGUGGAGCACAUUUCAACUAUCAAUGACCUCCAAAGGAGAGAGGAAGAUUAUCUUUUGGUAAGUCACAUGCUGAGUGUGGGGAAAUCUCUACUACACAGAGAUGCACCUCAGUCCAUUGAGUACAGUCUUCCAUUUUCACCCUUCUCAGGUUUGGCUUUCAUGCCCCUCCAUUCAACAGCGUUAACCAUCUCCAUCUCCAUUGUUUGGCACUUCCUUUCAUACCCAAAGCUUUGAACAGAUGGAAACAUGUAAAAUACAUGUCUUUGGGACCUCUGGGAUUCAUCAAGGCUGAGAAGUUGAUGGAGAAGAUAAAGCCAUAAAAUAUAUUCAGUCAAUAAUGUGACUACUUCCAAUUGUUGUUGCUUAAGUUGCAUCAAGCAAUGGUUGAUAUUUUACCGAUCUCUAUAAUGAGGCCAUGUGAUGGAUGUCACAAGUCCUUUACCUUGUAAUACAUUGAACGUAACAAAUUGGUUGCUGCAUUUCGUCCUUCCAUGAUGAACUUAAAGAGUUAGAGGUAAAGUUAUCAAGAAUUGAAAUUAGUGUAGGUGCCAGUUCUUGUGUCAUUUUAAAAUUGUCAGAUUGAAAGCCACUUGAACCAUGCUUGAUUUUGGAUUAGUAUGAAUUAUUUUUGCCACAAAAUGGCAAUUAAAAGGAAUUAUUUUUGGUGACAGCCCUUAUCCCUUGAUCACCCUAAGUGCCAAGGUUCAAAAUUUCGCAAUGUAUAGGACCAUAUCAGCCGAUACAUAUCGUUCUGGUACAAGUCCGAUACACAGAACACAUAGAAAUUAUCUGUAGCGUUCCUUUUCGUAUGUAUCGAACUGUUUUGGGCCAUGUAUCGGACUGUUUCAGGUCUGUAUCGGCCGAUACGGUUCCGAAACAGUCCGAUACAGCCUGAUACAAGUCCCCUUCUCUC